rnacentral:lncRNA from 1 species
AUAUUCCAGAACUGCUUUCAUCAUAUAGAAAAAAACAUGCAGGGUGGGGUUCAGGGGCCUAAAAUGUGCAUUUAGCAAAAUCUUUGCAAACCAGUGGCAGCAUAUACAACACGGGAUGUGUUGAUUUAGAUCUGAGUUGAGAAGGGACAGCAGGAGGCUAUCCAGAGUGCAAGGAGACUUCUAAGUGUUUCUUCUACUUGUGGAUUUGAAGCCUCCAGACAAUUUACUGAACCAGGAGGCAGUUGUCCCCACCUCAGGAUGGAAGUGCUCCAGCAGAGUCACUGCAGACAAGCACGGCUGCCGGGAAAUAUCUGUCACUGGGAUUGGACCACCCUUAUCUAAAGCUGCUGAUCCAUCUCACUGCCACUUUCAUUCUGCAUCUGAGAAGCCCUUGGGAAAGCAAACUCUUUGGGAAGAGAGCAGACACCUUGUAACAUCUGAUUUCUGCCAAUGUGAACUCUGAGAUAAAGACAGAGGUUUAAAUAUAAGAAUAUGUUCUUCCCAAAUACACUUUUUGUUCAUUUCAUUGCUGCAAAUGCAGACAACAAUAUGUGCUGGCAAAUACAUCUCCUCACAGCACUGGGAAGCAGCUGCAGGAGGACUUCUGCUAAAGUUGACAUGACUGUUGUGACAAGAAAUCUGGGUUUUGUAGCUUAUUCAAGCAAGAAUCCUCAAAAAUACCACAACCCAGUUUACCUACUAGAGCCAAAUUUAAGUGUUCCAG